CCUACGGGAGGCUGCAGUGGGGGAUAUUGCACAAUGGGGGGAACCCUGAUGCAGCGACGCCGCGUGGGUGAAGGAGCGUUUCGGCGCGUAAAGUCCUAUCGGCAGGGAAGAAGAUGACGGUACCUGACCAAGAAGCCCCGGCGAACUACGUGCCAGCAGCCGCGGUAAGACGUCGGGGGCAAGCGUUAUCCGGAUUUACUGGGUGGAAAGGGGGCGCAGACGGCAAUGCAAGCCAGGAGUGAAGGCCCGGGGCCCAACCCCGGGACUGCUCUUGGAACUGCAUGGCUGGAGUACAGGAGGGGCAGGCGGAAUUCCUAGUGUAGCGGUGAAAUGCGUGGAUAUUAGGAGGAACACCGGUGGCGAAGGCGGCCUGCUGGACUGUGACUGACGUUGAGGCCCGAAGGCGUGGGGAGCAAACAGGAUUAGAUACCCUGGUAGUC
rnacentral:rRNA from 1 species